UACGGAGGGGGCGAGCGUUAUUCGGAAUUAUUGGGCGUAAAGGGCGCGUAGGCGGCUGCAUAAGUCAAAGGUGAAAUCCCUCGGCUCAACUGAGGAACUGCCUUUGAAACUGUACGGCUUGAGGCCGGGAGGGGGUAGCGGAAUUCCCAGUGUAGCGGUGAAAUGCGUAGAUAUUGGGAGGAACACCAGUGGCGAAGGCGGCUACCUGGACCGGUUCUGACGCUGAGGCGCGAAAGCGUGGGUAGCAAACAGG
rnacentral:rRNA from 1 species